UGAUGAGAGCUUGCUCUCUGAUUUCAGCGGCGGACGGGUGAGUAACACGUGGGCAACCUGCCCUACAGAUGGGGAUAACUCCGGGAAACCGGGGCUAAUACCGAAUAAUCAGUUUGUCCGCAUGGACAAACUCUGAAAGACGGCUUCUCGCUGUCACUGUAGGAUGGGCCCGCGGCGCAUUAGCUAGUUGGUGGGGUAAUGGCCUACCAAGGCGACGAUGCGUAGCCGACCUGAGAGGGUGAUCGGCCACACUGGCACUGAGACACGGCCCAGACUCCUACGGGAGGCAGCAGUAGGGAAUCUUCCACAAUGGACGAAAGUCUGAUGGAGCAAUGCCGCGUGAGCGAAGAAGGUUUUCGGA
rnacentral:rRNA from 1 species